GUGCUCACCAGGAGCAGCAGCAGCACUCCAGGCAUCCAACUACAAACUGGGUUAAAAAUUAUGGUGUGCUCAGAAGAAUUAAUGUCUCGGAAAAACAAACAGGAUUUUCUGAAGUGAGUGGGAUAAUCAUAAACUAGACUCAAAUGGCAAGUGUUUCUGUGAGCACUGAGUGACACACUGAGCCAGCCCUCGGGGAUUUCUGCACUUCAGCUGCUCCCUGCCUGCCCUCACAGAGCUGCACAAGACAUCCAGCCCUGCCAGCUGCAAUUUCCCUGCAUUUUAAAGGGCUUCAAUCUGAGCUCUCUUUUAAGUUCCUUCUCUCCUGGACCUUUCUGGACAGCAAAGGACACCUGGGGAUCCACCAGCACCGGGAAACUGCUCUUGAUUUUCCCAGGUACACUCCUGUUGUACAUCCCUUCUAUUUCUGUUUGUUUGCACCAGCACUAAACCUCUUCCCCCUUGAAAUCUGCUAUUUCUUUAGCUCUUUCCUGUUACCUCUCAUUUGGCAUAAAAUGUGGGGCUAAGGGGCACUGGAAAAGCCAAACUUUGCUUUUUGCAGUCUGCAAAAAAAGAUAUUUUGCCUCUUCUCCAGCCUAAAAGGUCAGGGUGUCACCACUUUUCUCCCCAGUCUUUUGGAGCUGAUUGAUUGGAAGAGAAGCAGCCCCAAAACUUUGACAGAUGGAUGAAUGGAAGUGCUGAGUCUGUGUUGUCAGUGAGGGCCAGGGUCAAUGUUGCAGCCUUAUGGUAUUGAAACCCUGGGAUUUUUCUUUUUUUGGUGCAAACACAUCCACCUAGAAGGGGCCUUUCCUCACAGGAAAUUUGGGGGUGGGUAUGAAGCAAUCACAGCUCCAAGGCUGACAGAGCUCCAGGAACAUUUGGACAACUCUCUCUGACACAGGCUGGGAUUUUGGGCUGUCUGUGCAGGGCCAGGAGCUGGAGUGAAUUCUGCCUGUGGGUCCUUUCCCUCUGAGGAUAUUCCAUGAUUUUAUAAUGGGGCAGCCAAGAAAGCCAAGGAGUUCAAUUCCAGUCCCAAACUGGAGAAUUUGACUUAUUUUCUUCCUUAGAUCAAAUCAGAUGACCCAGAAACACGGCAAGAGACAGUAAGAACGCUGCCACUUAGGAGUUCUUCUCUCCCACAAACACAUGGCUCCUGCUGGAAAAUAAUUUGAGAAAAAUUAGCACAGGACAUUAUGCAUGGCACUGUCUGAUCUCAGAGAGGAAAGGGUUUGGGAGAAGGAAGAGUUUGCAUUUGUGAGGCUGCUGGGAGUGCUGGCAAACCCACGUGGUUUGCAAAUUCCUCUCAUGUUCAGUUAAAUCAGCUCUUGGCCUCUUUGGUGCCUGACAAGAAAUGUUCUGUCAGGAAGGCAC
rnacentral:lncRNA from 1 species